UAUGAAGUUAGCGGCGGACGGGUGAGUAACACGUGGGUAACCUGCCCAUAAGACUGGGAUAACUCCGGGAAACCGGGGCUAAUACCGGAUAACAUUUUGAACCGCAUGGUUCGAAAUUGAAAGGCGGCUUCGGCUGUCACUUAUGGAUGGACCCGCGUCGCAUUAGCUAGUUGGUGAGGUAACGGCUCACCAAGGCAACGAUGCGUAGCCGACCUGAGAGGGUGAUCGGCCACACUGGGACUGAGACACGGCCCAGACUCCUACGGGAGGCAGCAGUAGGGAAUCUUCCGCAAUGGACGAAAGUCUGACGGAGCAACGCCGCGUGAGUGAUGAAGGCUUUCGGGUCGUAAAACUCUGUUGUUAGGGAAGAACAAGUGCUAGUUGAAUAAGCUGGCACCUUGACGGUACCUAACCAGAAAGCCACGGCUAACUACGUGCCAGCAGCCGCGGUAAUACGUAGGUGGCAAGCGUUAUCCGGAAUUAUUGGGCGUAAAGCGCGCGCAGGUGGUUUCUUAAGUCUGA
rnacentral:rRNA from 1 species